AAAAUUAAAGGUCUAAUCUGCCCAAUGAUAUUUGAAUGGCCGCGGUAACUUGACCGUGCAAAGGUAGCAUAAUUAUUAGUCUUUUAAUUGAAGGCUUGAAUGAAAGAUUGGAUGAAAAAUAAACUUUAUUAAUAAAAAUUAUUUAAUUUAUUAUUUAAGUAAAAAUUCUUAAAUAUACAAGUGGGACGAGAAGACCCUAUAGAGUUUUAAUUUUAUUUUAAUUAUAAAAUUAAAGAAUUAAUAUUUUCAUAAUAAAAAUAAAUUUUUUAUUGGGGUAAUGUUAAAAAUUAUUAAACUUUUAGUUAAUAUUUCAUUAAUAUAUGUAUUAUUGAUCCAAAAAAUUUUGAUUAUAAGACUUAAUUACCUUAGGGAUAACAGCGUUAUUAAUUUGAAGAGUUCAAAUCGAUAAAUUAGUUUGCGACCUCGAUGUUGGAUUAAGAAUAAAUUUUGGAGUAGCAUUUGAAAUAAUAGGUCUGUUCGACCUUUAAAUUCUUACG
rnacentral:rRNA from 1 species